GCAUUAGUGGUUCAGUGGUAGAAUUCUCGCCUGCCAUGCGGGAGACCCGGGUCCGAUUCCCGGCCAAUGCA
rfam:Danio rerio chromosome 4, GRCz11 reference primary assembly.